AUACUUACCUGGCAAGAGAGACACCGUGAUCAAGAAGGCGGUUCACCCAGGGCGAGGCUCAGCCAUUGUACUCCGGCUGUGCUGACCCCUGCGAAUUUCCCAAAUGUGGAAAUCUCGAUUGCAUAAUUUCUGGUAGUGGGGGACUGCGUUCGCGCUCUCCCCUG
rnacentral:snRNA from 8 species